GACGAACGCUGGCGGCGUGCUUAACACAUGCAAGUCGAACGCUGAAGCUCAGCUUUUGUUGGGUGGAUGAGUGGCGAACGGGUGAGUAACACGUGAGUAACCUGCCCCCUUCUUUGGGAUAACGCCCGGAAACGGGUGCUAAUACUGGAUAUUCACUGGUCUUCGCAUGGGGGUUGGUGGAAAGGGUUUUUCUGGUGGGGGAUGGGCUCGCGGCCUAUCAGCUUGUUGGUGGGAUGAUGGCCUACCAAGGCUUUGACGGGUAGCCGGCCUGAGAGGGUGACCGGUCACAUUGGGACUGAGAUACGGCCCAGACUCCUACGGGAGGCAGCAGUGGGGAAUAUUGCACAAUGGGCGAAAGCGUGAUGCAGCGGCGCCGCGUGAGGGGUGGAGGCCUUCGGGUUGUGAACCUCUUUCGCUCAUGGUCAAGCCGCAACAAUGGUUGUGGUGAGGGUAGUGGGUAAAGAAGCGCCGGCUAACUACGUG
rnacentral:rRNA from 1 species